ensembl:snoRNA
UCUGCCCCUAGAGGCAUUACAGAUGUGACUGCUGUGCCACAUGUGUGUCAUUGGGUGGGUAGACAGAAGAGAGACUUGUCUAUGCUCUGUGUUCUGACCUGUGAGCAACAGGGUGACUGAUAGGCUGACACU